rnacentral:rRNA from 1 species
CCUACGGGAGACAGCAGUGGGGAAUAUUGCACAAUGGGGGAGACCCUGAUGCAGCGACGCCGCGUGAGUGAGGAAGUAUUUCGGUAUGGAAAGCUCUAUCAGCCAGGGAGCAGCAAGACGGUACCUGACUCAGAAGCCCCUGCUAACUACGUUCCAGCAGCCGCGGUAAUACGUAGGGGGCAAGCGUUAUCCGGAUUUACUGGGGUUAAAGGGAGCGUAGACGGUAUGGUAAGUCUGAGGUGAAAGCCCAGGGCUUAACCCUGGGACUGCUGUGGAAACUGUUAGACUAGAGUGCUGGAGAGGUAAGUGGAAUGCCCAGUGUAGCGGUGAAAUGCGUAGAUAUUAGGAGGAACACCAGUGGCGAAGGCGGCUUACUGGACAGCAACUGACGUUGAGGCUCGAAAGCGUGGGUAGCAAACAGGAUUAGAUACCCGAGUAGUC